ACGGGUGCGUAACGCGUAGGAAUCUACCUCGUAGUGGGGGACAACCCGGCGAAAGCCGGGCUAAUACCGCAUACGAUCUAUGGAUGAAAGCAGGGGACCGUAAGGCCUUGCGCUAUGAGAUGAGCCUGCGUCGGAUUAGCUAGUUGGUGAGGUAAAGGCUCACCAAGGCGACGAUCCGUAGCUGGUCUGAGAGGACGACCAGCCACACUGGGACUGAGACACGGCCCAGACUCCUACGGGAGGCAGCAGUGGGGAAUAUUGGACAAUGGGGGCAACCCUGAUCCAGCAAUGCCGCGUGUGUGAAGAAGGCCUUCGGGUUGUAAAGCACUUUCGAUGGGGACAAACGUGUCGGACCUAAUACGUCCGGCCUUGAUGGUACCCAGAGAAGAAGCACCGGCUAACUCUGUGCCAGCAGCCGCGGUAAUACAGAGGGUGCAAGCGUUAAUCGGAAUUACUGGGCGUAAAGCGUGCGUAGGUGGUUUGUUAAGUCAGGCGUGAAAGCCCCGGGCUCAACCUGGGAACUGCGUUUGAUACUGACAAACUAGAGUGUGGUAGAGGGUAGUGGAAUUCCCGGUGUAGCGGUGAAAU
rnacentral:rRNA from 1 species